CCUUGCCAGCCCGCUCAGAAACUUAAAGGAAGUUGACGGGGCCCGCACAAGCGGUGGAGUAUGUGGUUUAAUUCGAUGCAACGCGAAGAACCUUACCUGGUCUUGACAUCCCGGAGACCCUUAGGAAACUAGGGGGUGCUUCCAUCUGGAAGAAUCUGGAGACAGGUGCUGCAUGGCUGUCGUCAGCUCGUGUCGUGAGAUGUUGGGUUAAGUCCCGCAACGAGCGCAACCCUUGCCUUUAGUUGCCAGCAGUUCGGCUGGGCACUCUAAAGGGACUGCCGGUGUUAAACCGGAGGAAGGUGGGGAUGACGUCAAGUCCUCAUGGCCUUUAUGACCAGGGCUACACACGUACUACAAUGGCCGAUACAAAGGGCAGCGACACUGCGAGGUGAAGCCAAUCCCGUAAAAUCGGUCUCAGUCCGGAUUGGAGUCUGCAACUCGACUCCAUGAAGUUGGAAUCGCUAGUAAUCGUGGAUCAGCAUGCCACGGUGAAUACGUUCCCGGGCCUU
rnacentral:rRNA from 1 species